GUUGGACUUGGGAUACUAAUUCAUUUCACCAAAGAGAUCCAUUUGGGAAUCUUUACUGACCAUGAUCACCAUAAAAAAGAUCUGAUUGAAGUUAAUGAAGGAAAAGUCCUCCUCUCAUGUCAGACCCUUUAUAUUCCAGAAGAACCUAGGAUAGAAGCCUUCCAGUCCAUUUCAAGCCAGCCUUGAAUAACCGGAGGCUCUUUCUCAGCUGCAGAUACUCAGAUGU
rnacentral:lncRNA from 1 species